UAUUGUUCUAUACUAGGCAAUUGGUCAUUUUCCUUAAAUUCCCAUAUGACUUGCGCUUGAUAACAAUGGUUUCCUUUUUUGUAAUGUCUCUGCAGGAGUUUCAUAUACUUUUAGAUGAUAUAUUAUGUAUUGAUUAAAACGAAACAUUAUUAAUGUAUUAAUGUGUGGAUUUUUGUCAUAGGAAUUAAUUUUAAGAAACGCAAAUUAAUGUACGAUCGACUUUAUCUUCAUGCAGCAUGAUUUGUUUCCCCUGAAAUAAAUAAUGCCGUGACGUCACCAUCGAACGCGGAAAGUAUAGAGUGCGCUGUUUUUCGUUUGCGUCGUCUCGUGGUGUUUAACUUUUAAAUUAUCACAGUCACUACUUUAUUAUAGAGUUUUAAGACACAAUAACGAUGAACAAAUAACAACCAGAUCCGCCUAUUGUCGACUGUUGGGGGAAAAACUAUUCGAGAAAAUGUUAAAAGAAUGAUGCAGAAGGUGAUGAAUGUCUCCCUCACGGCGAAGUUCAACUUAAGCGGACAGUCAAGGCCUAAUGUUGAACCAAAAAUUGGAAUAAAGCAGACAACAGUGUAUUCUGUCUUUAAAGCUAGUGUAAGCCAAAGUAUAAGCCAUACAGAAAAAGACCUGGAGGAGGCCCUUGCAAAGAUUUUAAAGUAGGCGCCUGACAGAAAAGGCGGAGUGGGCCGAUGGCUCGAAAAACCCUUAUCUUAAUGUGUUAAUAUCAUUUCAUUCCAUAUUGGGACUGCUCAAUAGCUGGUCAAGGACCACCAAUCCUGCCAUAGUGAUUUGUCAUUGCCCUUUUGUGUUUUACACUUGACCAGUAUGUAUAGUUAAAGGGACUG